rnacentral:rRNA from 1 species
AGUGAACGCUGGCGGUAGGCCUAACACAUGCAAGUCGAACGGCAGCACAGUAAGAGCUUGCUCUUACGGGUGGCGAGUGGCGGACGGGUGAGGAAUACAUCGGAAUCUACUUUUUCGUGGGGGAUAACGUAGGGAAACUUCCGCUAAUACCGCAUACGACCUACGGGUGAAAGCAGGGGUUCUUCGGACCUUGCGCGAUUGAAUGAGCCGAUGUCGGAUUAGUUAGUUGGCGGGGUAAAGGCCCACCAAGGCGACGAUCAGUAGCUGGUCUGAGAGGAUGAUCAGCCACACUGGAACUGAGACACGGUCCAGACUCCUACGGGAGGCAGCAGUGGGGAAUAUUGGACAAUGGGCGCAAGCCUGAUCCAGCCAGACCGCGUGGGUGAAGAAGGCCUUCGGGUUGUAAAGCCCUUUUGUUGGGAAAGAAAAGCAGCAGGUUAAUACCCCGCUGUUCUGACGGUACCCAAAGAAUAAGCACCGGCUAACUUCGUG